UCAGUUACUCUAUGCAUGUCUUCAAAUAUAUUACACUUUUUUUCCUCUUCAAACGUUUCUGUUUAUGGUUCUUUUUCUUGCUUUUUUUUUUCAUCUUCUUUGGUUUUCUUCCUCGUACCUUCUCUUCUCUUUAUCUCUUUGCAUUUUUGCUGCUUCGAGUUGAGUGUGUUGCCCUGUGCUUUUUGUGGACCGAAUUGUCCCUUCUCAGAGGUGAAGAAAAUGAUUCUCACUAAGCAGUAUCGAUGUGUACAUUCAGCUAGUUGUCAAUGCACCAAGGGACAUUUAAGUGAAGAUGUGAUAUUCUUGGUGUUUCAGCAUUUGAAUUGGAACCCCAAUCUAAUUGCUACACUGUCGUGUGCAUGCAAAUGGUUUGAUGAUAUUGCAAAGAGGGUUUUAUGGAAAGAGUUUUGCAGAACAAGAGCUCCUAAGAUGAUGCUUGAUCUGCAAUCCAGUGGAAGUCACAGUGCAGAUGGGAACUGGAGGGCUCUGGGGAAGCUUCUCAUAUUCUGUUCUGGUUGCACACAAGGUGGUUUGUUCGAUAAUGUUGAGGUUCCUGGUCACUUUGUUAACAAGACUCGGUUUUCUAAAACACUAGGAAAGAGCUUUCUCAUGCCACAGUGUCUGAAUGAUGUUUUGUAUGUGUCUGAGCCUUGUGAGCAUAUUGACCAAGGUGAAGCUGGUGAUUUAGGAUUCUUCAGAGGAAUUUUCAAGUCGUUUGCAUCAUCAAACGUUAAGAAGAUGAUAAUUAACAGAGGUGCACAGCUCCAUCCAACCGAGAUUUGCCCCUAUUGUAAGGCUAAGUUGUGGAGUAUGCUACAGGCCAAUAUGAUUCCACAAACUGCUAAGUGCAGGUUGGGUUCCCAUAAAGAUUAUAUUGAGUAUUAUGUCUGCCUAAAUGGUCACUUGCUUGGGGUCUGCACAUUGUUACCACUGUCUGAUUCAGAGGAUGUAUCUGAAAAUGAGUAAGAUAUUAAUGAUUCUCAGGUGUUUCAGUUUAUUAUUGGUUAAAAGUUUGUAGAAAUGGAUACUAUUCUCUCAUCAGAAUUGAAGUUUCAUCUGGAUUGGAAUUCAAUCUUAACAUGAAAUUUGGCUGAGCGCAGUGCUGUUUGCUCAAGGGUGAAACUGUGCUCAGCAACAGCUAUAAGUCUCAUUUUGAUUCAAACCUCCACAUUGCAUUAUGCUUCAUGUUGCUGUCUCAACUCAUGCCAGCAUUUUCCACUGAUUAUAAAUAUUGCCAACAUUUUUUUUAAUAAAUCAAAUAGAAGGUGGUUCUUUACUUAGAACUAUGUGGUACACUGAAUUGUUUUGUAGAUUUCUGACCUGGGUGUGCAAUAGUUAAUACUUCUUAAAAAUCAUUUUGAUUUAGUAGCA